GAUGAACGCUAGCUACAGGCUUAACACAUGCAAGUCGAGGGGAAACGAUAGAGAAAGCUUGCUUUUUCUAGGCGUCGACCGGCGCACGGGUGAGUAACGCGUAUCCAACCUGCCCAUCACUUGGGGAUAACCUUGCGAAAGUAAGACUAAUACCCAAUGAUAUCUCUAGAAGACAUCUGAAGGAGAUUAAAGAUUUAUCGGUGAUGGAUGGGGAUGCGUCUGAUUAGCCUGUUGUCGGGGUAAAGGCCCACCAAGGCGACGAUCAGUAGGGGUUCUGAGUGGAAGGUCCCCCAAAUUGGAAAUGAGACACGGUCCAAACUCCUACGGGAGGCAGCAGUGAGGAAUAUUGGUCAAUGGGCGAGAGCCUGAACCAGCCAAGUAGCGUGCAGGAUGACGUCCCUAUGGGUUGUAAACUGCUUUUAUAAGGGAAUAAAGUGAGUCUCGUGAGGCUUUUUGCAUGUACCUUAUGAAUAAGGACCGGCUAAUUCCGUGCCAGCCGCCGCAGUAA
rnacentral:rRNA from 1 species